rnacentral:rRNA from 1 species
UACAGAGGUCUCAAGCGUUGUUCGGAUUCAUUGGGCGUAAAGGGUGCGUAGGUGGCAGGGUAAGUCGGAUGUGAAAUCCCGGGGCUCAACCUCGGAACUGCAUUCGAUAACUGCUUUGCUUGAGUACUGGAGAGGAGAUUGGAAUUUACGGUGUAGCAGUGAAAUGCGUAGAUAUCGUAAGGAAGACCAGUGGCGAAGGCGGAUCUCUGGAUGAGUUACUGACACUGAGGCACGAAGGCCAAGGGGAGCAAAAGGG